rnacentral:tRNA from 12 species
UAGAGAGAUAGGAAUUGAACCU